GUGGGGAAUCUUGCGCAAUGGGCGAAAGCCUGACGCAGCCAUGCCGCGUGAAUGAUGAAGGUCUUAGGAUUGUAAAAUUCUUUCACCGGGGACGAUAAUGACUGUAGCCGGAGAAGAAGCCCCGGCUAACUUCGUGCCAGCAGCCGCGGUAAUACGAAGGGGGCUAGCGUUGCUCGGAAUUACUGGGCGUAAAGGGAGCGUAGGCGGACAUUUAAGUCAGGGGUGAAAUCCCGAGGCUCAACCUCGGAACUGCCUUUGAUACUGGGUGUCUUGAGUGUGAGAGAGGUGAGUGGAACUCCGAGUGUAGAGGUGAAAUUCGUAGAUAUUCGGAAGAACACCAGUGGCGAAGGCGACUCACUGGCUCAUUACUGACGCUGAGGCUCGAAAGCGUGGGGAGCAAACAGGAUUAGAAACCCCUGUAGUCC
rnacentral:rRNA from 1 species